CGGCGAUGCUACGCCGCAUGGGGGAUGGUUCGGCUAGAGCGCCGAAGAAGGUCGUGUCAAGCAGCGAUAUGCGUCGGGUAGGUGCACGAAGCCUAUGAUCCGACGAUGACCUAAUGGGACUUCCUGUUCUUCGGAACAACCAGUAAUGGUAGGGAACGCGGGGGAUUGAAGCAUCUUAGUACCCGCAGGAAAAGAAAUCAAUCGAGAUACCGUUAUUAAAGGCGAUCGAACGCGGUACAGGGCAAACCGAAUCCCCAUACGAAAGUUUGGGGAGAUGUGGAGUUAUGGACUCAUUUACUCCUUAGCGAGAAUAUCCGAAAGGUGCUGGAAAGCACUGCCAUAGAGGGUGAUAGCCCCUUAGGAGAAGGCUCGUAUGGAGAUUUUUGAGAUUCCGGAGUAGCGUGCGUUGGAUAUCGCGCGUGAAUUCGGGAGGCAUUCGCUUCCAACCCUAAAUACGUCUCUAGUCCGAUAGCGUAGUAGUAGCGUGAGCGAAAACUGAAAAGUACCCUUUACGGGAGGUUAAAAGACCUGAAACCAUGCGGUUAUAGAUUUAUAUGGCAUCGAAGGGAAGAAACCGCAAGGUGGACCAGUGUUAUAUAGUACGUUUAGAAAAACGGGCCAGGGAGUUCUGGUCAUUGGCGAGGUUAAGAGCUUGACGCUCGAAGCCGAAGGGAAACCGAUUGUCCGCAGUUUUACGAGGGACAAGGUGUGCUCGCCUGGAGUCAAUGGCGCGAUACCCGAAGCCGGUCGAUCUACGCCUGAGCAGGUUGAAGCCUCUCGAAGGGGAGGUGGAGGACCGAACCAGUAUUGAUGUGCAAAUCGUUUGGAUGACUUGGGUGUAGGGGUGAAAGGCCAAUCUAGACCGGAAAUAGCUGGUUCCCCCCGAAACUAUUCGCAGAUAGAUCUCGAUCGAGGCGGAUUGUGAGGUAGAGCACUGAUUGGGUAUUUAGGGGAAGAAAUUCCUCGGUAUCCUGUCAAACUCCGAAUAUGCAAUCGUCGUAGACGUCGGGAGUGAGGCUACCCGGGGUAAGCUCGGUAGUCGCGAGGGAAACAACCCAGACCAAAGUUAAGGUCCCUAAAUUUCGGUUAAGUGUUAAGCUAAAUGGCGUCGGCAGUCCAAGACAACCGGGAGGUGGGCUUAGAAGCAGCCACCCUUUAAAGAUAGCGUAACAGCUCACCGGUCGAGAUUGUGGGCCCAGAAAAUGGACGGGGCUAAACCGAGUACCGAUACUUUGGAACACAGCAAUGUGAUUUGGUAGGGGGGCGUGGUGCAUGGGCAGAAGUGGGGCCGUGAGGUCCCGUGGACCGUGUACCAACGAGAAUCCUGGUGAGAGUAGCAGCAAAGUACGGUGAGAAUCCGUACCGCCGCAGGGGCAAGGGUUCCUUGGCAAUGUUCGUCAGCCAAGGGUUAGUCGAUCCUAAGGUGGUUCUUAAUCGACACCAUCGAACGGGAAACUGGUUAAUAUUCCAGUACCGCAACAUCCUUUGUCCGCAUCCCGACAGAUCGGGAUGGCUGGAGUACAAUCGGCAUUGUAUUGAAGCGCCGAAGGCCCUGGAGAACCGUAAUGGUGAGAAGGGGCUGAAUGCGUGAUCAGGCGAGCGUAGGCUCGCUUCCGGUGAUUCCUGGUUUCCGUGAAAACGGAUGCGGGGUCAGAUAUUGCGAUCGUACCAAGAACCGACACAGGUGUCCCUGGGUGAGUAGCCCAAGGCGUGUUAGCAUAAUCUAGGCAAGGGAAUUCGGCAAAUUAGCCCUGUAACUUCGGGAGAAGGGGUGCCAGUCGUGUGAACGACUGGUCGCAGUGACAAGAGAACUCCGACUGUUUAACCAAAACAUAGAUCGCUGCUAGUUCGAAAGGAUGUGUAUAGCGGUUGAGGCCUGCCCAGUGUCGGUAACUUAAAUCCUGUUUCAACGGGACAAAGGUCCGAUAAACGGCGGGGGUAACUAUGACCCUCUUAAGGUAGCGUAAUACCUUGUCGCUUAAUUGGCGACUUGCAUGAAGGCUCAACGUGGGUUCUACUGUCCCUGCCUAGACGCUAGUGAAAUCAAUCUGUCUGGUGCACAAUCCAGACCCCUCCAUCUGAAAGCGAAGACCCCAUGGAGUUUCACUGCAACCUGUUGUUGCGAUAGGAAUUGACAUGUGUAGGGUAGACGGGAGUCGUUACACAGGUGGGAGCGCUAGCUCCUCGCCGAGACGUCGAUGAAACACCGUCCUUGUCGGUUUUUAUCUCUAACCUCUACGGAGGGACAGCUAUAGGCAGGCAGUUCGGGUGGGGCGCCACGCCCUCAAAAAGAUAACAAGGGCGCCCAAAGGUUGGCUCAGGUAGGUCAGAAAUCUACCGAAGAGUGUAAGGGUAAAAGCCAGCUUGACUCGGAACCAGAUAACAGGGUUCGGAGAUAGGAAACUAAGGCCUAACGAACCAAUCAACCCCCCGAAUGGGGGUGAUUGAUGACAGAAAAAUUACCCUGGGGAUAAUUGAGUUGUCAGCAGCAAGAGUUCAUAUCGACCUGCUGGCUUGCUACUUCGCUGUCGGCUCUCCCUAUCCUGGUGGUGCAGCAGCUGCCAAGGGUGGGGUUGUUCGCCCAUUAAAAGGGAUCGUGAGCUGGGUU
rnacentral:rRNA from 1 species